rnacentral:rRNA from 1 species
GACGAACGCUGGCGGCGUGCCUAAUACAUGCAAGUAGAACGCUGAAGAGAAGAGCUUGCUCUUCUUGGAUGAGUUGCGAACGGGUGAGUAACGCGUAGGUAACCUGCCUGGUAGCGGGGGAUAACUAUUGGAAACGAUAGCUAAUACCGCAUAAAAUUGAUUAUUGCAUGAUAAUUAAUUGAAAGAUGCAAUUGCAUCACUACCAGAUGGACCUGCGUUGUAUUAGCUAGUUGGUGAGGUAACGGCUCACCAAGGCGACGAUACAUAGCCGACCUGAGAGGGUGAUCGGCCACACUGGGACUGAGACACGGCCCAGACUCCUACGGGAGGCAGCAGUAGGGAAUCUUCGGCAAUGGGGGGAACCCUGACCGAGCAACGCCGCGUGAGUGAAGAAGGUUUUCGGAUCGUAAAGCUCUGUUGUAAGAGAAGAACGGGUGUGAGAGUGGAAAGUUCACACUGUGACGGUAUCUUACCAGAAAGGGACGGCUAACUACGUGGCAGCAGCCGCGGUAAUACGUAGGUCCCCGAGCGUUGUCCGGGAUUUUUUGGGCGUAAAGCCGAGCGCAGCGGUUAAAAUAAGUCUGAAGUUAAAGGCUGUGGCUUAACCAUAGUAUGCUUUGGAAACUGUUUAACUUGAGUGCAGAAGGGGAGAGUGGAAUUCCAUGUGUAGCGGUGAAAUGCGUAGAUAUAUGGAGGAACACCGGUGGCGAAAGCGGCUCUCUGGUCUGUAACUGACGCUGAGGCUCGAAAGCGUGGGGAGCAAACAGGAUUAGAUACCCUGGUAGUCCACGCCGUAAACGAUGAGUGCUAGGUGUUAGGCCCUUUCCGGGGCUUAGUGCCGCAGCUAACGCAUUAAGCACUCCGCCUGGGGAGUACGACCGCAAGGUUGAAACUCAAAGGAAUUGACGGGGGCCCGCACAAGCGGUGGGGCAUGUGGUUUAAUUCGAAGCAACGCGAAGAACCUUACCAGGUCUUGACAUCCCUCUGACCGCUCUAGAGAUAGAGUUUUCCUUCGGGACAGAGGUGACAGGUGGUGCAUGGUUGUCGUCAGCUCGUGUCGUGAGAUGUUGGGUUAAGUCCCGCAACGAGCGCAACCCCUAUUGUUAGUUGCCAUCAUUCAGUUGGGCACUCUAGCGGGACUGCCGGUAAUAAACCGGAGGAAGGUGGGGAUGACGUCAAAUCAUCAUGCCCCUUAUGACCUGGGCUACACACGUGCUACAAUGGCUGGUACAACGAGUCGCAAGCCGGUGACGGCAAGCUAAUCUCUGAAAGCCAGUCUCAGUUCGGAUUGUAGGCUGCAACUCGCCUACAUGAAGUCGGAAUCGCUAGUAAUCGCGGAUCAGCACGCCGCGGUGAAUACGUUCCCGGGCCU